rfam:Schistosoma mansoni, Puerto Rico, WGS project CABG01000000 data, contig: 0171
GGCCUCCUGAAUAUUUGCCGAGAUUUCGUCAGACUCCAAUCCACCAGGAUUGAUGAGGCUGCCAAUAUAAGUGAAGCA